GUUAUGAAAAUAUACCAUUUGUCUAGUUGGAAUGGCCAUGGCCAUUUCAUCAAUUUUCAUUCUGGAAAAAGAAAUAAUCGUUUUAAGAAUAAAACAAAUAAAAGGCAGUGGAUAGCCUAGAAUGUUCCUAGAUCUGUGGGCGGUCAUAGUCCUGCGGUUAAUAGACGUGAUUUGAGCUCUAUCGCCGAGAACACGCUCGUCCUGUCACCUGGCCCAGCAUUCCUCGCUGAGAUUACUUCAAACACCUGCAUGUGCAACUUACUGAGAGGAAAUCUAAAUUCCACUUAAGAUAAAAUACAAGUAUGUUCACUACACUUUCUUAUCCCUAUUAAGAAACGUAUAUCAUCUAUAUUAAUAAAUGCCCAAAUGUAUGUACGCGCAUUUUUCGGAACAAUUGUAGCGCAUCGUAUGAUUAUUUUUCUGUUUGUGUAAAAGAAAAUUAAAAGAAAACAUA
rnacentral:misc_RNA from 1 species